AUGGAGGCAGCGGUAGCUCGCGCCGACACAGCAGCAUUCUUCUCGGGCCAGGAGGACGCGGCCGGGGGGAGCAUAUCCAGACUACCGGCUCGGGUCGCCGGCUCGAUCGUCCGCGGCGUGAUCACCUUCAUCUUCGCCACAGGUCGGUGGCAUACAUGCAUGUUUUUUCUUGUUUUCAUUCCACCGUGGACAUGGCGGGGUGUUCGGCAUCUCCAUCGUGCGACUGUUCCUGAUCGACUUGGUGUUGUUGCAGUGGGCACGAUUCUGGGAGCCAUCACGGGCGGGAUGAUCGGGCUGGCGACGGAGAGCGGUCUCGUCCGCGGCGCGGGCAUCGGCGCCAUCUCCGGCGCCGUGGUGGCCAUGGAGGUUGUCGACAGGUCCAUGGCCAUGUGGCGCUCCGACGAGUGCGGCAUCUGGAGCGUCCUAUACGUGCUUGACGUGAUCUGGAGCCUCCUGACGGGUCGUCUGGUGCGCGAGAAGGUGGACCCCGCAGUGCAGAACGCGGUCGACAGCCAGAUGAACGCCGCGGGCGACGGGUUCAGCGACAGCCCGCCGACGCUCUCCGAGAUGUUUGACAUGGGCUCCGCCUCCUUCAAAGGCAUGGCUGCAGACGCCAUCGCCGAGCUCCCCGCGACGACGAUCACCGAGCAGCAAGCCGCCGUGCAGGACGGGGGCUGCUCCGUGUGCCUCCAGGAGUUCGAGGCCGGCGAGGCGGCGCGGAGCCUGCCGGAGUGCCGCCACACGUUCCACAUGUCGUGCAUAGACGGGUGGCUUUGCCGGCAUGCGUCGUGCCCGCUGUGCCGCCGCGCCGUCUAG
rnacentral:rRNA from 1 species